GAUGAAGAACGCAGCGAAAUGCGAUAAGUAAUGUGAAUUGCAGAAUUCAGUGAAUCAUCGAAUCUUUGAACGCACAUUGCGCCUGCUAGCAUUCUGGCAGGCAUGCCUGUCCGAGCGUCAUUUCCACCCUCACGCGCCGCGUGGUGUUGGGGCUCUCUCCGCAGCGAGAGGCCCCGAAAGCGAGUGGCGGACCGCCUGGUUUGGCUCCGAGCGCAGUAACUCACUCUCGCUCUGGACGGCCAGCGGCCCUGCCGUGAAACCGUGCUCGCAAGAGCACACCCACCAAAGGUUGACCUCGGAUCAGGUAGGACUACCCGCUGAACUUAAGCAUAUCAAUAAGCGGAGGA
rnacentral:misc_RNA from 1 species